rnacentral:rRNA from 1 species
GAUGAACGCUGGCGGUGUGCCUUAGGCAUGCAAGUCGAGCGGGUCCGGCGCAAGCCGGAUCAGCGGCGAACGGGUGAAUAAUGCAUAGGAAUCUACCCUCAAGAGGUAAAUAGCUUUCCGAAAGGAGAGGUAAUGAACCGUAAUCUCGCAAGAGCAAAGGGAGUAACUUCCCGCUUGAGGAGGAGCAUAUGUCCUAUCAGCUUGUUGGUGGGGUAAUGGCCUACCAAGGCAGUGACGGGUAGCUGGACUGAGAGGUCGGUCAGCCACAGGGGAACUGAGACACGGCCCAGACUCCUACGGGAGGCAGCAGUGGGGAAUUUUGGACAAUGGGCGAAAGCCUGAUCCAGCAAUGCCGCGUGUGUGAAGAAGGCCUUCGGGUUGUAAAGCACUUUUGUCCGGAAAGAAAUGGCUCUGGUUAAUACCUGGGGUCGAUGACGGUACCGGAAGAAUAAGGACCGGCUAACUACGUGCCAGCCGCCGCCGUAA